UACGUAGGGUGCGAGCGUUAAUCGGAAUUACUGGGCGUAAAGCGUGCGCAGGCGGUUUUGUAAGCCAGAUGUGAAAUCCCCGGGCUUAACCUGGGAAUGGCAUUUGGGACUGCAAGGCUUGAGUGCGGCAGAGGAGACUGGAAUUCCUGGUGUAGCGGUGGAAUGCGCAGAUAUCAGGAGGAACACCGAUGGCGAAGGCAGAUCUCUGGGCCGUUACUGACGCUGAGGAGCGAAAGCGUGGGGAGCGAACAGG
rnacentral:rRNA from 1 species